CUACGGGAUGCAGCAGUGGGGAAUAUUGCACAAUGGGCGCAAGCCUGAUGCAGCAACGCCGCGUGAACGAUGAAGGCCUUCGGGUUGUAAAGUUCUUUUCUUAGGGAAGAAUAAAUGACGGUACCUAAGGAAUCAGCCCCGGCUAACUACGUGCCAGCAGCCGCGGUAAUACGUAGGGGGCAAGCGUUAUCCGGAAUCACUGGGCGUAAAGGGAGUGUAGGCGGUCAAGCAAGUCAGGGGUGAAAGGCAUCGGCUCAACUGAUGUAAGCCUUUGAAACUGUUUGACUUGAGUGCAGGAGAGGUAAGUGGAAUUCCUAGUGUAGCGGUGAAAUGCGUAGAUAUUAGGAGGAACACCAGUGGCGAAGGCGACUUACUGGACUGUAACUGACGCUGAGGCUCGAAAGCGUGGGGAGCGAACAGGAUUAGAUACCCUAGUAGUC
rnacentral:rRNA from 1 species